GGGGCAGCCGUCCCUGGACGAGCACCUGGAGCUGCGGGACAUCAACGCGGACCUGGCCAGCUUCCGCUCCACCUGGUCCAAGUACAUCCAGGAGAACAAGCAGAAGUGGAAGGAGCGGGCAGCCAGCGGUAGGUGCCGGAGGCCCGGGGAGGGGACCAUCGCGGAGAUGCACGGGGCCGGGUCUGUGCCGAGCAUCCCCGCUCCGUAGGGAUGGGACCCGCAGGUUGCUUGCGCCCCUGGGGUGCAGCAGAGCCCGGGAGGUGGCUCAUCGCACCCCCUGACUCCCUAGGGACCCGGGGUGGCAGUAGACGGGGCAGACAGCUGGCCCAUGUGUGAGAUGAGUUGGGAAGGGCUCAGCCCCUGUGUGGGUGUCUCCGUGGGGCACCUCGUGGGAAGGGGGUUCAGCUGGUGUCUCGCCGCCAGGAAUCACCAACCAAAUGUCCAUCGAGGAGCUGUCGCCGUGCGAGGAGGAGCUGCCGGCGCCCGAGAGCCGGCACAAGCAGAAUGGCAACGUGGAAUAGCACGAGGCGGGAGCGAGGUCCUCGUCCGACUGAGUGAUGCAGUUUAGUCCAAAGUCUUCGAUGCCAUCGAAUUCAGCACCAUUUGCAGGGAAGGAGCCGCCCGGGCCCGGGCUGAU
rnacentral:lncRNA from 1 species